rnacentral:lncRNA from 15 species
UAAUCUCUUCUAUGUCUGAACAUCUCUGAGGAGCUGUCUCUGUCUCUGCUUACUUCUCUGCCUCCAAUCUCAACUCAGGUGACAAACAGUCACUGCUGCUCCUGCAUGCUCUGCUCGCUCAGCUUUCUAAACUAAAGUAAGGUUUAUAAUCAGUGUUACAUAUUGAAUGCAUUAAUGGAUAAAACUGUUGCAUGUUUGCUAACUUGGGGUCUUCUUCUUCUCUGUUUGUGCAUGAAGCAAUACACCGGUAAGUCACCUGUAGGUGUGUGUGUGUGUGUGUGUGUGUGUGUGUGUGUGUGAUAGUAAAACAGCUCCAUAGCACUUACCUGCUUCCAGUCUUUAUGCUAAGCUAACCUGACCUCUGCUGGUUGUAGCUUCAUGUUUACUGCACAGACAUGAGAGUGGGAUAGAGUGCUGAUGUAUUAUUUCAUCUGAACAUGGAUCUCCCUCAUUAAAUAUGUGGCCUUUGCUGUGUGAAUGAGUGACUCUGAUUGUGUUUUACUCCAUUAGUUCAUAAUGUCACUCAUGAAAACAUUAAAGUCUUUAUGUCAUCAGGAGAAAUUCUUCCAAAGAUUGAGAGUUGCUAGUUCUCUAAAGAAAUUACAGGUUGGUGUGAUGAAUUAAGACUCUUUAUUGCAUGCAGCAUAGAGAGAAUACCUCAACAUGAAUGUACCUACUCCCUACUUCCAGAAUGAUCCAUCUUAUAUACCAUCCAGUACCUCCAAGAUCACCUGGUUACUUCCUAACCAUACCCAUUGUAAACCACAUCCCAAAGCCUUAGACCUUCAGCAACACAAUGGUCCUUUGAUAUAACUUUGAUUUAUUAACAGAUUCUCAGCAUACUUCCCCCUACCAUAAAGAUCACUGACCCCCAAACCAAACUGAAUACAUUUAUUGUCACAUCUAAAACAUUCAUCUCCCACAUUUGUCUUUCAGGUCCUGUCCUUAAAGAGCGAUCAGGAGAAAUCCCAGGAGCAGCUCUAAAGCCGUACACGAGGACACUUACUGCCACAGAGGACGGAGCACUGCUGCAGUGUGUUGUUCAAGGUGCUUCUCCUAAACCUAAAGUAGAGUGGAAGGACAGUGCUGGAAACAUCCUUCCUGCUGAGGAGACACAGGUCUCAGACAGAGGAGGACGUUACUACGUUACCCUCCUCACCACUGUGACCAAGACUGAUCACUACCGCUGUGUAGUCACACAGGAGGAAAUCCACCAUGAGACUCAUUCUGAGACCUACGUGUUCAUCAAUGAUCCUGUCCUUAAAGACCGAUCAGGAGAAAUCCCAGGAGCUCCAAAGCCGUACAUCAGGACACUUAAUCCCACAGAGGACAGAGCACUGCUGCAGUGUGUUGUUGAAGGUGCUUCUCCUAAACCUAAAGUAGAGUGGAAGGACAGAGCUGGAAACAUCCUUCCUGCUGAGGAGCCACAGGUCUCAGACAGAGGAGGACGUUACUACGUUACCCUUCUCACCACUGUGACCAAGACCGACCACUACCGCUGUGUAGUCACACAGGAGGAAAUCCACCAUCAGACUCAUUCUGAGACCUACGUGUUCAUCUAUGAGAAACUGCGUGAGGAAUCAUCCAGCAAAGAGCUCAUUGGAUGGUUGGGUGGAUUGUUUAGUGGAUGGGUUUCAGGAGUUUUAACUCUUGCUGCAGUUCUGGUUUUGCUUGUGGCUACAAAGUGCAUCAUAAUACGUCGUAUUAAAGGUUUUCCUCUGCUGGGACAAGAUCCAAACAGUUCUUCUAACGGUUCUUCAGAGCAAAAGAAGUUAGCUGUUUGAUCCUCUGGUGGCUGCUGUCAGAACAACAGAUCCCUGAAUCUACACUCAAAAAUAUGAAGGGAACACUUAAAUCACACAUCAGAUCUCGAUAAACGAAAUAUUCAAGUUCACAAUCUUUACUGUACUGAACAAAAUAAUGUAACAGCGGUCAAUAGAAACCAAAACCACCAACCGAUGAGGUCUGGAUUCAAAAUCACACCGAAAAUCAAAGUAAAAAAAUUAAAUCACUGGCUGAUCCAAAUCUGACAUAAAUUUCAUCACAGUAACUCAUAAUGUGACUCAGUAGUGUGUGUGUGGCCCCCACGUGCCUGUAUGCACUCCUGACAACAUCUGGGCAUGCUCCUGGGUGGGGGGGGGGACUCCUCCCAGACCUGGAUCAGGGCAGGUACCGCCUCAUGCUACCAGUAGUGACAGGGACACUCACAAAACGCAAAACUAGAGAAGAAUCAGUCAGGAAGGAUAAGGAGAGAGCUAUUGUCUGUGGCCACCUCUAAAACUCAUUCCUUUCUGGGGUUGUCUUGCUGUUGCCUCUUUCAUUGUCACUUUUAUUUGCACCAAAACAGGUAAAAUGGAUACACAAUCACUUAUCCUUCCUAACUGGAUAGAUUGAUAUCCCUGAAGUUUAAUUGACUUUGUGUUAUACUGUGAAGUGUUCCCUUAAUUCUUAUGAGCAGUGUACAAUGUGUGUGUAAUGUAACUUGUAGCUUAACUAUGUUGUGUCUUAAAGCUUUAAUGCUACAACUCAUAGGAAGGUUGAGAAAGAGGAUUGUAAAUAGUCCAGAUGAGAAGAGAUGGAAACAAAGGAAUUUCUCAGGUGUCAGUAUUCGAUAUAUUCCUCACUGAAGGAAUCAGUUAAAGAGUUAAACUCUGGUUUCAGUUCAUAAUAUAUGGUCAAUAUUUUAUUGUCAUGAGUCGUCCAGCUCAACUGCAGCUUGUAAAUAUUUUAUUGCGUGUGUGAAUAUUUUUAACAUCCAUGUGAAAUGAAUUUAUUUUGACUGUUUAUAAGAGUUAAAAUGUUUUAUACUAUUUUCAUCAUGGUGCCGAGCAAGAAUCUUCUAUACUCAAUGAUUGAUCAUUAAAUCUCAUUAAUGCUGUAAUAAUGUGCAAUGAAGAUGAGUCAGUAUAACUUAUAUUUUAUUAUGAGCAAGAGUUUUCCUUGUAUGUGCCUUGUUGUGUUGUUCACUGUAAUAUGUCUGUUUAAUAUUUAGGUCUGUUUAUUUGCACUGGAAGUUUCCUUGUUGAUGAGAUAUUCUUCCAAUCAGUGAGUUAAUGUUGUUAAGUUGUCUUUUCUUCCUCAUGUGGUUCUUUGUUAUUGGAGCAGCUAGUUAGCUGGUGACGUAGCGACAGCACACUGCUACAAACUCUACAUCUGUCUACCAUCACUUCCUGUUUCAACUGUGGACAUUAAAGUGUCCUAAAUAAUAAUGAGACAUUACAAUCAUCAUGUUUAAACUUUUGUCUCCAAUCGUUUGAAUAAAACAAACUUUCCUGAUGGAUGACUGGAUGCUUUUAUUUUGAAGGAAAUCAGAGUGAUUAUUGAUCUGCUGCAGCAGCUGUUUUUGAUACUUAAAGUCUUACUAAAGACUCUUUGAACACAAACCAACUGGAUUUAACAUUUACACUUUAUUUAAUAACCUGAAUUAAGUAGAUAUUUGUGUGGACUGUGGUUGAGAAUCACUUCCUUUGGUACUCGGAUACUUUCAGAGCCGGUCCUAACCUUCCUGGGGCCCUCAGCCAAAGUCCUCAAAAUGUCUGCAUUCAAACUGGAACAGUGAAUACUAUUUAUACUGCGGGUUGACUGAAUACUUGGUUAUUAUUUACUGAGAGAUCUGCAUCCAUAUUGCUCAGGAUGUCCAGCUAAUCAACAUUUAAAUUCAAUAUUUAAUCAAUAGUCAAUGUAUCGCUUAAAACGAUGUGUUCCUGAUUACCAUCAUGUCCAUAUUAACAACAGACACAUCCUCCUCCUCCUCUUCCUCUGCACUGUGGAUUAAUGUGGACAUUAAAAGACACACAUUAUUGUUCCAGCAGUCUGUUUGUAUAUAUGUGGAGGGAAAGAACUGAAGUAUCAGUCGUUGUGAGACGAGAGUUACAAGAAGGGAGAAGAGUGUUUUAUUAUGAAAGUAGAACUUAUUAACUGACUCAUUAA